rfam:Bombyx mori DNA, contig: Bm_scaf34_contig20904, strain: p50T/Dazao, build 2, whole genome shotgun sequence.
UUAUCUCAUAUUUGUAUGGAAUGGGAUCGUUUGCCUACGUUUGUCGUUAGGGGCGCUGUUCCAACUGCAUACAAAAUUGGGUUA